UCGAGAAUCUUCGGCAAUGGGCGCAAGCCUGACCGAGCGACGCCGCGUACGGGAUGAAGGCCUUCGGGUUGUAAACCGUUGUCAGUGGGGAGGAAAUGUCGGUGGGUUCUCCCAUCGAUUUGACCUAUCCGCAGAGGAAGGACGGGCUAAGUUCGUGCCAGCAGCCGCGGUAAGACGAACCGUCCAAACGUUAUUCGGAAUCACUGGGCUUAAAGGGUGCGUAGGCUGUCCGGUAAGUUGGGUGUGAAAGCCCUCGGCUCAACCGAGGAAUAGCGCCCAAAACUGUCGGACUCGAGGAAGAUAGAGGUGAACGGAACUAAGGGUGGAGCGGUGAAAUGCGUUGAUAUCCUUAGGAACACCAGUAGCGAAAGCGGUUCACUGGGUCUUUUCUGACGCUGAGGCACGAAAGCUAGGGGAGCGAACG
rnacentral:rRNA from 1 species